rnacentral:rRNA from 1 species
UACGGAGGGUGCGAGCGUUGUCCGGAAUCAUUGGGCGUAAAGGGCGCGUAGGUGGCCCGGUCGGUCAGUGGUGAAAGCGCGGGGCUCAACUCCGCGUCGGCCAUUGAUACUGCGGGGCUGGAGCACUGUAGAGGCAGGCGGAAUUCCGGGUGUAGCGGUGGAAUGCGUAGAGAUCCGGAAGAACACCGGUGGCGAAGGCGGCCUGCUGGGCAGUUGCUGACACUGAGGCGCGACAGCGUGGGGAGCAAACAGG